UUCUUUUACAAUUAACACCCUCACAAUACACUAUUCACAUCAGUUUAGCAGAUACAAACUGACGUUUUUUGCUGGAGCCAUUCUAAAUGUCUGUUUGAGCUCAAAUUUGACAGUCAGGCUCGAUUUUACUUAACUUAACGAAAGAAAUUUUAAUAUUUCAGUUUCGACCACAUUUGGUCACCGAAAAGCUCUGCCGAACUGUAAUCUCUAGCAGAUAGCAGUCGGAUUUUAUUUUUCACCUUCCGGGUGUCAGAAUUACAUGAAACUUUAAAUCUAGCCUCAUAAAAAUAAUUCUAACAUAUUUUAUAAUUUUCUGACACUGUACAUUUUCUGCUAAAAUAUCAGUCCCGUUUCGCACAGAAAAUUCUAAAUCUUCUAUUUUCAUUCCGAUUUCAGCACGAGUCAUUCCAAACUUAUAUUUCACUUCUCUAAAUCCAAUAAAAAUAAUAUCUCACACUAUUUUUAUUUAUUUUUACUUUUAUAUCAAAAUCCAGUAUGUUACACGCGUGAUAUCUAGCGAUCCGUCUGUCAGAUUUUCCAACGAGUU
rnacentral:lncRNA from 1 species